rnacentral:lncRNA from 1 species
CAAAAAGAUGUUCAGGAAAUAUUAGCUGAUGAAUGAAUAAGUCCCACAGUGCCUCACAGAAAGUAUCAAAAACUUGUAGUGUUUACAGAUGCUUUCAAGUCAUAAUUUCCUUUACAUUGUACUCUUGAUUCUAAAGGGUAGUCUGAGGGCAUUCCUCACCUGUCUGCCUGGAGAAUUAAAACCCAAGUGCUGUUGGCCUCAGUGGAGCAUGGGG